UGGCUCAGUGGUUGAGCAUCUGUCUGUGAACCAGGAGGUCAGGGUUUGAUUCCCGG
rnacentral:tRNA from 1 species